AUGAGAGGUACUGCCUGCCCAGUGACUCAUUCAACGGCCACGGUAUUUUGACCGUGCAAAGGUAGCAUAAUCACUUGUUUUUUAAAUAAAGACCUGUAUGAAAGGCAAGACGAAAGCUCAACUGUCUCCUCUGUCUAGUCUACGAAACUGAUCUCCCUGUAAAAAAGCAGGGAUAUAACCGCAAGACGAGAAGACCCUAUGGAGCUUAAGAUAAAAGGACAAUUUUAAUAUUAAAUUAUGUUCUAAUACCUUUAGUUGGGGCGACUACGGAGCACACAAACCCUCCGCGAACUAUGUACUAAGCAAAACAAACCAAUGUACUAAAACAUCUACUACAAUUGACCCAGUAUCCACUGAUCAACGGACCAAGUUACCCUAGGGAUAACAGCGCAAUCUUCUCUUAGAGUCCAUAUCACCGAGAAGGCUUACGACCUCGAUGUUGGAUCAGGAUACCCAGACAAUGCAACCGUUGUCAUUGGUUUGUUUGUUC
rnacentral:rRNA from 1 species